UGGGGAAUAUUGGACAAUGGGCGAAAGCCUGAUCCAGCCAUGCCGCGUGAGUGAUGAAGGCCUUCGGGUCGUAAAGCUCUGUGGGGAGGGACGAAAAGCAGGACGCUAAUACCGGCCUGAAUUGACGGUACCUCCUUAGCAAGCACCGGCUAACUCCGUGCCAGCAGCCGCGGUAAUACGGAGGGUGCAAACGUUGCUCGGAAUCAUUGGGCGUAAAGCGCGCGUAGGCGGUCUCUUAAGUCGGAAGUGAAAGCCCUGGGCUCAACCCAGGAAGUGCUUUCGAAACUGAGAGGCUUGAGUAUGGAAGAGGGUCGCGGAAUUCCCGGUGUAGAGGUGAAAUUCGUAGAUAUCGGGAGGAACACCAGUGGCGAAGGCGGCGACCUGGGCCAAUACUGACGCUGAGGUGCGAAAGCGUGGGGAGCAAACAGG
rnacentral:rRNA from 1 species